CGGACCCCAAUUUAACUCUCAAUUAAACCAUCUCUACACUUUUCAUGUUACAAAAUGGUCGAUGUGCAUGCUAGAGUCAGUGCAAUUCGUAGCAUAAAGACAAUUGAUUUUUAGGUUCAAAAUGUCUCAUAUUUGUGUCCUUCAGACCUUGUUUACACCCUGUUUACAAUUGUCUCAAAUGCGUACCGGUGACCAAGUUUAAUACUUUGUUUGUUGUUUUUUAACAGGAAGGUCUCUGAUUUCACAACUGAAUACAUCACUCACUAAAUCACUGUGUUGCUGCAAUAUGACAAGUCAUGCAAAAAAAAAAGAAAGAAAAGGAACCAAAGAAAAUAACUCAUUUCAUCUUCUUCCUCCAUCAGACCUCACUUCUUUAAUUGAACCAAACAUGACAAAUGUGAACACACCCUCAUUCUAGCAUUUAAUGCUGAGAAAGGGUCUAGCGUUGAAGCCUCAGAAGGACACACCCUCAUUAGACUACAGCCUUCCAUUUAAGAAGCACCUAUAGGGUUGACUACUUAUUCCUCACCUCCUCUUGGGUCAGUUAGAGAAUGGAAAUGUCUUCAAGAUGGCUUAAUCUGAUCUGUUUAACAAGUCACAGGCUGGAGGACAGAGAAGUGAUGAAACAAGGAAGCAUCAGUUUGAGUAGUGAGAAGCAACCAGUGCACUUGCUGCUGCGUUUCCUGUUUAAGGUUGUUUGAGUCCAUUUGAGUGUUUACAGACUCUUUUGGUUGUUGGCUUUUGAAGCUGAUAACAUGAGGUUGAAUGUACAAAACACAAACUAAGUAGUACGGCUCUGCCGAGAGGUUUUAAGUGUGAAAGACUUUAUGUCAAAGACCAUUGCGAAAUGAAACCACUUCCUGUGUAGCCUUAACACUUUUGAAAAUGCUAAUAAACAUUUCAAAGACAACAGCUCAUCUGUGAAGACGUACUGAUCAACACAGUGGAUAAUGGAUUUAGAGGCUAUUUAUGCAAAUGUUGACUGCAGAGGUAUUGAGAGCACAACUGGAUCGCAAAUUCAGGGUCAUGGUCAGGAUGAAGGAAAAGAUCUAAAGCAAAGAGGAAGUAGAUGUUUGGUGUUGGUCACAGUGGGUCUCGGGCUCAUUUGUGUUCUUCUGCUGGUCUUCAUCAUACUGCUGUACAUCAACAUCACAGCAGAGAGAGACCUGAUAAAGAGUUACAAGAACAGAGCUGAAGAGUUCAAUCAAACCAUCAACAGCUUACAGGACAAUUGCACUGAUCUAAUGACUGAAAAACACCAACUGCAGAACAACUUCAACUCUUUGAGUCGGAAGAAAGGGAAACUGGAGACCAGAGUCAAAGAUCUCAUUGAUAAGAAAAGCCAGUUACAGAGAGAUUUUAAAUCUUUGAAUAAGAAGGGCCCAGUUUGUUUUUUCAUGUCCACUGAGUUGAAAAUGGAAAAUGGGUGGAUAAUUCAACACUGAAACAAGGGUUUUGGCUUAAUGGUGAGCCGAAUAACCAAGGCAGAAAUAAGGACUGUAUUGAACUGAUGCCUUCAAAUCCUGUCCUGAACAACUGGAAUGAUCUGCAAUGCUCAAUGAAGAGAAAAGGGUUUUGUGAGAAAUAGGGUUCAUCCCACCCUUUUCUGGUUUUACUUCAAAAUAGUGGAUAUUCAUAGGAAACGAAAAUGUAAAAAUGUCAUUAUUUUUUAUUGCUAUAAUAAACUCAAGGUCAAUAAAACAUUCAGAGAAAA